rnacentral:lncRNA from 1 species
CAAAAACUGUAGGCCAAUGAAUAUUUCCCCAAUUUAUAACCCCAAUGAUUUAGUAAAAAGCAAGAAAAUUAAGGACUAUCAAUUGCACAAAAGAAGACAGAGUAAGCUCACCAUUUCCUUCUUAAUUCUCUUAAGGUCCUUAUCCGUCAAAGGCUCCAUAUCAAAGUCAUAAUAAAAGCCAUUCUCAAUCCACGGACCAAUGGUCACUUUUGCAUCUGGAUAAAGCUUUUGCACAGCCAUGGCCAUUACAUGAGCACACUGAACAGAAAAAUGAAUAUGUUGGCUUCUACAAUCUACCUACAAACUUCAAACAGAAAAAUACUCCUUUUCAAUCCACUCCAAAUUCACUUACGGACAAAUUAUAGCCAAGUAUGAAUCUCUGAAGCCUAAUAUUACUACAGAGUCUAAGUUUGCAAUAACUAUAAUUUCAAGCAAAAUUGAUAAAUAUAGAUUAAGAAAGAAAAUGAGAAAAAUUGACAAAACCCAUGAAAUUUGAAGCAAAAAUUGCAUCAGUACAACACAAGCCCUCAAUGGAUGCUCCUUUGGUAUUACCGUGUGGCGAAUCCUGAGGAGUCCCUCAGACGAUUCAUUAGUGGGUAGAACAAUUUUUCCAUUCUGUGCUUCACCAUAUUUUUCUUCUUCCUCCGAAAUAGUGGCUGUUUCAGUAAAAUUGGUGGCCACCGCAGAGAUAUUCGCGUUGGAUACCCCACAAAUCCUAUUUCCAUAGCGGGGAUUACGGGAGUUACAAGAUGGGUAUAGAGCAAAUAGAUUGAAAUGGCGCUUAGCGAUAAUGGAAGAAAACGUAGUGUUGAAAUUGGGAGAGAAAUUCGAGAGUUUGGAUGGAAAAGCAAAGAAACAGUGCCAGUGCUUAGAUAAAGAUACCGCCAUUGCUGUAUUCCUGUGAAGAGCAAACAUAGUUGGAUAUUUGGGUUUUACUGAUUUUCUUGUCUAGCCUUGGAAUUUGUCUUUUGCUUGAGUUCAAGUAAAUCACCUUCUUAAACACCUUUUUGAUUUCUUCAGUCAACUAGAGUGAUAAUUUACAGCAGUGAAGCCAACAUUGAAGCUGAGUAAAGAGGGGUACUAUCAAAAUGUUUCUGUUGAAACUUCUUUCUGGUGAAGUCAUUAGACAUAAUGAAGCAGCUAGCAGGGAACUUCAAAUUAACAAAAUCCCAACAUCAAAAAAUAUCAUCCAUCCUUAUCCCAAAAAAAUCAUCUUAGAAACCUCAAAAUUUUACAUUAACUUGACCCCAGUAAGGUUGUUCACUUUAAUCCAAUACGGCGGGUAAGCACUUCCAAGUUAGAAAAGAGGCGAAGGGAAAACUCCAGCUUGGAAAUGCAAAUAUAUCUUCUUCUUCUUUAGCAUAUACCUCCUCUAGAUGACUCCAGCUUGCACCCCAUAACCAUGUUUUUGAAAUUUACUUCGACCCAUUUGUUACUAUGCAGUGAUUAUCAUACGUACUUGAAACUCCUCAUCCUACAAGCAACAAUGACUCUUAUUCACGUUCUAGAUCACAUAUUAUUCUCCAUCUACAUGGGUCCAUAAGUUUCUGGACAGCCUGUGACCUCUUUAAUAGCCUCAUCAACCACACAAGCCAUAAGCGCACACGUGCUCAUACACACUACCUUCUUUUGUGCAGGCAUCUAUAGUCCACCAAAUCACUCAACUCAUCAUGAAGAAAAGUUGGCCAUUUAGAACAGAUGAACUAAAACAUAAACGACCAGUUUUGGAAAAUAUAACUAGCCAAGGUAUCAUAUGGUUCACAUGGUAGUUUCUUUCAUAUCUAGACUCCAACAUUAUAAAAUCAAUUAGAUAAGUAUCUGACAAAUAGUGAAACAGUUGGCAACGAAGAUAAGCUCGAAAUCUGGUGGUGCAAUAGUUACAAAACACACUUUCUUUUAUAAAAGAAAUAGCAAGUGUGUACCUAUAUGAUAGAUUGUGAUAGGAUCCUCUUUGAUGCUUUCCAAAAUCUCCAUCUUGUACGGCUCAUUAACAGCCAUUAUUCUUCUCUGGGCUUCAUCUCUGCUAACUUCUUCUCGUACCAAAGGUAAAUUUCGACCAAUGAUGCGAUCCUGCAGAUGAUUCAACAAAUAAAUUCUGUACCCAAAAACUGUAGGCCAAUGAAUAUUUCCCCAAUUUAUAACCCCAAUGAUUUAGUAAAAAGCAAGAAAAUUAAGGACUAUCAAUUGCACAAAAGAAGACAGAGUAAGCUCACCAUUUCCUUCUUAAUUCUCUUAAGGUCCUUAUCCGUCAAAGGCUCCAUAUCAAAGUCAUAAUAAAAGCCAUUCUCAAUCCACGGACCAAUGGUCACUUUUGCAUCUGGAUAAAGCUUUUG